AUUGAACGCUGGCGGCAGGCUUAACACAUGCAAGUCGAGCGAGCGGCGGACGGGUGAGUAAUGUCUGGGAAACUGCCUGAUGGAGGGGGAUAACUACUGGAAACGGUAGCUAAUACCACAUACCAUCAGAUGUGCCCAGAUGGGAUUAGCUAGUAGGUGGGGUAAUGGCUCACCUAGGCGACGAUCCCUAGCUGGUCUGAGAGGAUGACCAGCCACACUGGAACUGGGACACGGUCCAGACUCCUACGGGAGGCAGCAGUGGGGAAUAUUGCACAAUGGGCGCAAGCCUGAUGCAGCAAUGCCGCGUGUGUGAAGAAGGCCUUAGGGUUGUAAAGAACUUUCAGCGAGGAGGCGUUACUCGCAGAAGAAGGACGGGCUAACUCCAUGCCAGCAGCCGCGGUAAUUC
rnacentral:rRNA from 1 species